rnacentral:snRNA from 1 species
GAAUGUGAGGGCAAUCCGUCUGUGACAUCUGUCACCUCAUUGAUCACCAGGGCUGAUUCGGCUGAUCUGCUGCCUGGGCAGGUGUCCCCGUCCCCCCCGCACCUCUCCAUGUGCAUGCCUCCCGAAGCUGCAUGCUCAGUCAGAGGACAACCUUCCCUGAUACAGGAGGACCAUUCUUCAAUCCCAGGUGUGUGAGUAGCUGCACUCUCCUGCUAGAAUCUCCAAACAAGCUCUCAAGAAAGGUACUUUUAAAAACACUCCAUCUAUUUAGCUUGGAUGGGGAACUUUCCAUACAUCAGCUCAUUCUGCCAUCUUGAAGAGAAUUUCUGA